rnacentral:rRNA from 1 species
UGAAGAGAGGAGCUUGCUCUUCUUGGAUGAGUUGCGAACGGGUGAGUAACGCGUAGGUAACCUGCCUUGUAGCGGGGGAUAACUAUUGGAAACGAUAGCUAAUACCGCAUAACAAUGGAUGACACAUGUCAUUUAUUUGAAAGGGGCAAUUGCUCCACUACAAGAUGGACCUGCGUUGUAUUAGCUAGUAGGUGAGGUAAUGGCUCACCUAGGCGACGAUACAUAGCCGACCUGAGAGGGUGAUCGGCCACACUGGGACUGAGACACGGCCCAGACUCCUACGGGAGGCAGCAGUAGGGAAUCUUCGGCAAUGGGGGCAACCCUGACCGAGCAACGCCGCGUGAGUGAAGAAGGUUUUCGGAUCGUAAAGCUCUGUUGUAAGUCAAGAACGGGUGUGAGAGUGGAAAGUUCACACUGUGACGGUAGCUUACCAGAAAGGGACGGCUAACUACGUGCCAGCAGCCGCGGUAAUACGUAGGUCCCGAGCGUUGUCCGGAUUUAUUGGGCGUAAAGCGAGCGCAGGCGGUUUGAUAAGUCUGAAGUUAAAGGCUGUGGCUCAACCAUAGUUCGCUUUGGAAACUGUCAAACUUGAGUGCAGAAGGGGAGAGUGGAAUUCCAUGUGUAGCGGUGAAAUGCGUAGAUAUAUGGAGGAACACCGGUGGCGAAAGCGGCUCUCUGGUCCGUAACUGACGCUGAGGCUCGAAAGCGUGGGGAGCGAACAGGAUUAGAUACCCUGGUAGUCCACGCCGUAAACGAUGAGUGCUAGGUGUUGGAUCCUUUCCGGGAUUCAGUGCCGCAGCUAACGCAUUAAGCACUCCGCCUGGGGAGUACGACCGCAAGGUUGAAACUCAAAGGAAUUGACGGGGGCCCGCACAAGCGGUGGAGCAUGUGGUUUAAUUCGAAGCAACGCGAAGAACCUUACCAGGUCUUGACAUCCCGAUGCUAUUUCUAGAGAUAGAAAGUUACUUCGGUACAUCGGUGACAGGUGGUGCAUGGUUGUCGUCAGCUCGUGUCGUGAGAUGUUGGGUUAAGUCCCGCAACGAGCGCAACCCCUAUUGUUAGUUGCCAUCAUUCAGUUGGGCACUCUAGCGAGACUGCCGGUAAUAAACCGGAGGAAGGUGGGGAUGACGUCAAAUCAUCAUGCCCCUUAUGACCUGGGCUACACACGUGCUACAAUGGUUGGUACAACGAGUUGCGAGUCGGUGACGGCGAGCUAAUCUCUUAAAGCCAAUCUCAGUUCGGAUUGUAGGCUGCAACUCGCCUACAUGAAGUCGGAAUCGCUAGUAAUCGCGGAUCAGCACGCCGCGGUGAAUACGUUCCCGGGCCUUGUACACACCGCCCGUCACACCACGAGAGUUUGU